rnacentral:rRNA from 1 species
UACGGGGGGGCAAGCGUUGUUCGGAAUUCCUGGGCGUAAAGGGCUCGUAGGUGGCCAACUAAGUCAUACGUGAAAUCCCUCAGCUUAACUGGGGAACUGCGUCUGAUACUGGAUGGCUUGAGUUUGGGAGAGGGAUGCGGAAUUCCAGGUGUAGCGGUGAAAUGCGUAGAUAUCUGGAGGAACACCGGUGGCGAAGGCGGCAUCCUGGACCAACACUGACACUGAUGAGCGAAAGCCAGGGGAGCAAACGGG